AAUCUAGCUCAAGUCUACUGCUUAGGGACUUGGACUGUCACUUUCGUGAUUUCGAGGAUUCUGGUUUUUGGCAGCAGAAUGAGUGUUGGAGAAAUGUGAAUGUUGCACCAUGAGGAGCUGUCUAGGCUGGGACUUCAGAGGCCAUGGAGAUCUGCCAUCACCAAGAUCCUCAUUCCAAAUGCUUUGUCCUAGGUGAUAAUGUACCACCUUUAAAGAGCUUUCCUGGGAUAACGUUCUUUAUGAAGCCAUUAUUUCUUCAUGAGAAAGACAUGACUCAAGCUGCCAUGACCCAAGUUAUCCUCCAAGAACUGUGAGCAGUAGUGACUUGUCCCUGCAGGAAGAGAGAUACAGCAAGAUUGCAACUCCACGUCAGCCCGCAUCACCUGGUCCCUGAGGUUUGGUGUGUCAGCUCCAUCUUCGACCUGUGAGCUACUUCUAAGAGACUCCUCUUCAUCAAUUGCCGAGUGUGUAGUACCAGAUCAGGAAUGUGACUGAUACUGAUGUGCUUCUCAAUCCUGGACU